rnacentral:rRNA from 1 species
CUGCCGGCGACCGGCGCACGGGUGAGUAACACGUAUGCAACCUGCCCUCCGGCAGGGGGAUAACCCGGAGAAAUCCGGACUAAUACCGCGUGGUACACCAGUGGGGCAUCCCACGGGUGUUAAAAGGAAGCGAUUCCGGCGGAGGAUGGGCAUGCGGCGCAUUAGCUUGUUGGCGGGGUAACGGCCCACCAAGGCGACGAUGCGUAGGGGUUCUGAGAGGAAGGUCCCCCACACUGGUACUGAGACACGGACCAGACUCCUACGGAAGGCAGCAG